rnacentral:rRNA from 1 species
AGUGAACGCUGGCGGUAGGCCUAACACAUGCAAGUCGAACGGCAGCACAGUAAGAGCUUGCUCUUACGGGUGGCGAGUGGCGGACGGGUGAGGAAUACAUCGGAAUCUACUUUUUCGUGGGGGAAAACGUAGGGAAAAUUACGCUAAUACCGCAUACGACCUACGGGUGAAAGCAGGGGAUCUUCGGACCUUGCGCGAUUGAAUGAGCCGAUGUCGGAUUAGCUAGUUGGCGGGGUAAAGGCCCACCAAGGCGACGAUCCGUAGCUGGUCUGAGAGGAUGAUCAGCCACACUGGAACUGAGACACGGUCCAGACUCCUACGGGAGGCAGCAGUGGGGAAUAUUGGACAAUGGGCGCAAGCCUGAUCCAGCCAUACCGCGUGGGUGAAGAAGGCCUUCGGGUUGUAAAGCCCUUUUGUUUGGAAAGAAAAGCAGCAGGUUAAUACCCCGCUGUUCUGACGGUACCCAAAGAAUAAGCACCGGCUAACUUCGUG